AGUGAACGCUGGCGGUAGGCCUAACACAUGCAAGUCGAACGGCAGCACAGUAAGAGCUUGCUCUUACGGGUGGCGAGUGGCGGACGGGAGAGGAAUACAUCGGAAUCUACUUUUUCGUGGGGGAUAACGUAGGGAAAGUUACGCUAAUACCGCAUACGACCUACGGGUGAAAGCAGGGGAUCUUCGGACCUUGCGCGAUUGAAUGAGCCGAUGUCGGAUUAGCUAGUUGGCGGGGUAAAGGCCCACCAAGGCGGCGAUACGUAGCUGGUCUGAGAGGAUGGUCAGCCGCACUGGAGCUGAGACACGGUCCCGACUCCUACGGGAGGCAGCAGUGGGGAAUAUUGGACAAUGGGCGCAAGCCUGAUCCAGCCAUACCGCGUGGGUUAAGAAGGCCUUCGGGUUGUAAAGCCCUUUUGUUGGGAAAGAAAAGCAGCAGGUUAAUACCCCGCUGUUCUGACGGUACCCAAAGAAUAAGCACCGGCUAACUUCGUG
rnacentral:rRNA from 1 species